AGGGUUCGAUCAUGGCUCAGAACGUACGCUGGCGGCACGCCUAAUACAUGCAAGUCGAACGAAGUAGCAAUACUUAGUGGCAGACGGGUGAGUAACAUGUGGGUAUCUUCCCUUUGGUGAGGAAUAACACGAGGAAACUUGUGCUAAUACCUCAUAAGUCUUUACGGAGAAAGCUUUAUGCGCCAAUGGAUGAGCCCGCACUUGAUUAGUUUGUUGGUGGGGUAAAGGCCUACCAAGACUAUGAUCAAUAGCUGAUUUGAGAGGAUGAUCAGCCACAUUGGGACUGAGACACGGCCCAAACUCCUACGGGAGGCAGCAGUAGGGAAUCUUGCACAAUGGGGGAAACCCUGAUGCAGCGAUGCCGCGUGAGUGAAGAAGGCCCUUGGGUUGUAAAGCUCUUUCGUCGGGGAAGAAAAUGACUGUACCCGAAUAAGAAGGUCCGGCUAACUUCGUGCCAGCAGCCGCGGUAAUAC
rnacentral:rRNA from 1 species